UACGUAGGGGGCAAGCGUUGUCCGGAAUCAUUGGGCGUAAAGAGCGUGUAGGCGGCCCGGUAAGUCUGUUGUGAAAGUCCAGGGCUCAACCCUGGAAUGCCGAUGGAUACUGCCGGGCUAGAGUUCGGAAGAGGCGAGUGGAAUUCCUGGUGUAGCGGGUGGAAUGCGCAGAUAUCAGGAGGAACACCGGUGGCGAAGGCGGCAUCCUGGACCGACAUUG
rnacentral:rRNA from 1 species